GGUUAAGCGAACAAGCGUACACGGUGGAUGCCCUGGCAGUCAGAGGCGAUGAAGGACGUGCUAAUCUGCGAAAAGCGCCGGUAAGGUGAUAUGAACCGUUAUAACCGGCGAUGUCCGAAUGGGGAAACCCGGUGCACUUCGGUGCAUCAUCGUUAGCUGAAUACAUAGGCUAACGAGGCGAACCGGGGGAACUGAAACAUCUAAGUACCCCGAGGAAAAGAAAUCAACCGAGAUUCCCCCAGUAGCGGCGAGCGAACGGGGAACAGCCCAGAGCCUGAAUCAGCUUGUGUGUCAGUGGAACGGUCUGGAAAGGCCGGCGAUACAGGGUGACAGCCCCGUACACGAAGGCACACAGGCUGUGAGCUCGAUGAGUAGGGCGGGACACGUGAUAUCCUGUCUGAAGAUGGGGGGACCAUCCUCCAAGGCUAAAUACUCCUGACUGACCGAUAGUGAACCAGUACCGUGAGGGAAAGGCGAAAAGAACCCCGGCGAGGGGAGUGAAACAGAACCUGAAACCGUGUACGUACAAGCAGUGGGAGCCUUCGUAAGAGGGUGACUGCGUACCUUUUGUAUAAUGGGUCAGCGACUUAUAUUCUGUAGCAAGGUUAACCGUAUAGGGGAGCCGAAGGGAAACCGAGUCUUAAUUGGGCGUUAAGUUGCAGGGUAUAGACCCGAAACCCGGUGAUCUAGCCAUGGGCAGGUUGAAGGUUGGGUAACACUAACUGGAGGACCGAACCGACUAAUGUUGAAAAAUUAGCGGAUGACCUGUGGCUGGGGGUGAAAGGCCAAUCAAACCGGGAGAUAGCUGGUUCUCCCCGAAAGCUAUUUAGGUAGCGCCUCGUGAA
rnacentral:rRNA from 1 species